GACAGGGAAGCCUGGUGUGCUGCAGUCCACAGGGUCACAAAGAGUAGGAGCAACCGAGUGACUGAACUGAACUGAACUGCAGUUGCAAAGCCAGUAGAGGGUGCAGUGUACCUAUCCUUUGAUUUCUGGGAUUGCAAAUAAGUGCAUAGGUUGGAUAUUCCUCAAAUAACCUAGAUAAACAAGACUUCAUUUCAUCUAGAGAGAAAGGAGUCUGGGACUAUGAUAUGGUCUUUGGUGAUCUCGGUUUUAUGUUCAGGAAUUAGCAGAUAUAUAGAAUCAUUUUAUUACCAUUGGAGAAUGCUGAGGUUGGUGCUUUAUGAAGACUGUUUUUCUGUUUUGCUUCCCUGGAGAAAAGUCAUUUGAGCAUUUUGUACCAAGUCCACAAAAAACUGGCCUGAUUAAACUCAUCAACCAGAUUAGAUUCUGGGUAUCCAGGAUUGCUUGCGUAAUGGGUUGGGCAUUUUUACUAAUCCUUGAAAUCUUUGAUGUGGCUGCUGACUGGGAGCUAGGAUGCAUUCUUCCCCUCUGGCUCAUCAGCUUCCAUUCCAUGAGUCUCCAGUGUCUGUGCUACUUUAUCUCCACAGCUGACUUAGCAGAGAUAGGACGCCUCCUGUUCUCUUCUUUCUUGCCUGACUCACUCCCACAGUGUUAUUCUCCCCUAGCAACAGGGCAGUGGGCUGAGCAAAUGAGGCAGCACCCCCCGCUUGCCAGCUCACCACCUUCUGAAGCUGUCUGUUUAUGCAACAUUUUGCUCAUUCUUUCUCCAUCAAAUUCUCCCAGUUUCCAGGUUUUGGUAAAUGUUCCACUCCAAUAAUAUGUUAACAUUUUCAGAGUUGAUCCAGGUUAAAAAGUUUCACAUGGUAAAACGAUGCAAGCCAACAGCCUCAGAGGUAGAUUCCCCAGGUUCAAUGACAAUGGAAAAUGUGCCUCUGCCACGCGAGUUCCUAUAAGCAUCUCUCUGCUCCUUAUUGGCUGUACUUUAAGGUUGCCUGAUUUAACAAAUAAAUAUACAAGAUACUCAGGAAUUUUUAAAUUAUUUCUAAUUGUUGGUGAUAU